rnacentral:rRNA from 1 species
GACGUAGGGCGCGAGCGUUGUCCGGAUUUAUUGGGCGUAAAGAGCUCGUAGGCGGUUUGUCGCGUCUGCUGUGAAAUCCCGAGGCUCAACCUCGGGCCUGCAGUGGGUACGGGCAGACUGGAGUGCGGUAGGGGAGAAUGGAAUUCCUGGUGUAGCGGUGAAAUGCGCAGAUAUCAGGAGGAACACCGAGUGGCGAAGGCAGGUCUCUGGGCCACUACUGACGUGAGAAGCGAAAGCAUGGGGAGCGAACAGG